GUUCGUAAGACGUUUUACACUUGUGGUUUUACAUUCAAUUCAUGUUGUCCCCAAUUCCCAAACUCCCCAAAAGAAAAAGUAUACACAAUUAAUUGAUCAUUACACAUACUAAAAUUUUGGCUGAAGAAAAAAGGAGGUGUAAUCUUUAAGAGUUUGGAAAUUAUUCAAUAUUGAAGGCUUAGGAAGACAAAUAAAUAUGGAGGUAAAACCAGCAGUUCCCGUGAGGGCCAUCCUUGUUGGAGGAAUUGCUGCAUUUGCAAAAAUAGGCGGUGCUGUUAAAGCUGCUGGAGGUAUAAAAGUAGGUGCAGCUGCAGCAACUGCUGCCAUUUCAGGAUCCAAGCAACAAGCAAAAACUGCUUCUCAGCACUCAUCAAAAUGAUGCUCUCUCUGAAGAAUGGUGUAGAGCUAGUGAUUCCCAUUUCAGCUAGUGAUCCUUUUCUUUCAAUAUAAUGUAUUUCAGUAAAAAUUAUAAGUUAUAGAAUAGUGAUGUUACUAGUUGGAUAGUAUACAGUUUUUGUCAUCACUUUGUUUUAUAGUACACUGGGAAUCAGGGAAUGUAUUCUGGCCUAUGAAUAAAGAAUAUUUGUGGCUUUACUGCAA